AAAUUUUUCUGUGGUCUUCAGUCGUUUUGACUGUUUCCUAACAUGUAGAAAUUGCCUGUUAUUGGUAAUUUCUCUUUGUGUUUUAAAUGUUUAUACACACACACACACACACACACACACA